UCAUCUAUAGCUCAGUAGAGCAUGAGACUCUUAAUCUCAGGGUCAUGGGUUGGAGCCCCACAUUGGGUGAA